AGAAGGUUUUCGGAUCGUAAAGCUCUGUUGUAAGUCAAGAACGAGUGUGAGAGUGGAAAGUUCACACUGUGACGGUAGCUUACCAGAAAGGGACGGCUAACUACGUGCCAGCAGCCGCGGUAAUACGUAGGUCCCGAGCGUUGUCCGGAUUUAUUGGGCGUAAAGCGAGCGCAGGCGGUUUGAUAAGUCUGAAGUUAAAGGCUGUGGCUCAACCAUAGUUCGCUUUGGAAACUGUCAAACUUGAGUGCAGAAGGGGAGAGUGGAAUUCCAUGUGUAGCGGUG
rnacentral:rRNA from 1 species